UGGCGGACGGGUGACGUAACGCGGUACGGAAACUGCCGUAUACUGGGGGAUAACACUUAGAAAUAGGUGCUAAUACCGCAUAAGCGCACAGCUUCGCAUGAAGCGGUGUGAAAAACUCUGGUGGUAUACGAUGGUUCCGCGUCUGAUUAGCUAGUUGGUGGGGUAAUGGCCUACCAAGGCAACGAUCAGUAGCCGGCCUGAGAGGGUGAACGGCCACAUUGGGACUGAGACACGGCCCAAACUCCUACGGAAGGCAGCAG
rnacentral:rRNA from 1 species